rnacentral:lncRNA from 1 species
CUCCAGAUCAGCUUUAAGAGAUACGUUCACCCGUCUAGGACCAUAGUUCCUACACUUCUCGACUUUGCGGACUAGUUAGAGUACGAGCUUCAGGUCCAAGAUGACACUGCCAAAUCAGUCAUGUAUGCUCCACCCUUACCUACAAGGAAAAGAGAAGGUCAUCAUGACGCCAAGCAUCCAGGCAGAUCUAUGAGCAUCCUGCUGGGUGCUGAGAAGCCCACUGCUGACUGUGAAUGCAGAGCGCCCGCUCCAGAGUCCAGACCCAGCUCAGUCAGGUACAGAGAGAAGUCACGUACCUACUGUCCUUAUUGUGACAAUGCUAAUCACUUCCUUAAUGGAUGCCCCAACUUCAAGGAGCUGACUAAAGAACAGAAAGAGCCAUGGAUCCGCAAGAACAACAGGUGUUGGCGGUGUGGCCGCAAUCAUCAUGCUUCCAGAUGCACACUGAAGGCUCUGUGCAAGACCUGCAACAGGAAACACCUGCUUAUAUUGCACGACCUGAAUGAGCGAGCUGUGAAUACCAAUGCUGAGACUGAUCCCAAGGAGAACUCGUGUCUUGUGAGUACCACGAAAGGCAUCUUGUAUGCAAACCGGUCUGUCGGCAGCCGCAGAGUCCUCUUGAAAGUUAUUAAAGUCAUCAUUGCAAAUGGGGAUGCAUCAUUGGAAACGUAUGCAGUGCUGGAUGACGGGUCAGAAAGGACUAUUCUCCUCCAUGCCGCAGCUCAGCAACUGAACCUCAAGGGGCAGCCAGAAGAUCUGAUCCUGCGCACAGUGAGACAAGAUCAGCAGGUGCUUCAUGGGGUGGCUGUCUCCUUCACAGUAUCACGUGUCUCAUCCCCACAAGAAAUACCGCAUUCAGCAUGCGUUUACAGUUGAGAGACUAGGCCUCGCCGAACACACCUAUCCAGUAGUUUCCUUACAGAAGAGAUACAGACAUCUAGCUGGCCUCCCACUGCAGCAGAUGGAUAAAGUGCAGCCUGUGUUGCUGAUCGGGUCAGAUUGCCCACAUCUCAUCACGCCUGUUGAACCAGCUGCAGUCAAAACCCGCC